rnacentral:misc_RNA from 1 species
GAUGAAGAACGUAGCGAAAUGCGAUAAGUAAUGUGAAUUGCAGAAUUCAGUGAAUCAUCGAAUCUUUGAACGCACAUUGCGCCCGCCAGUAUUCUGGCGGGCAUGCCUGUUCGAGCGUCAUUUCAACCCUCAAGCCCCCGGGCUUGGUGUUGGGGAUCGGCUUGCCCUCGCGGCGCGCCGUCCCCUAAAUCUAGUGGCGGUCUCGCUGUAGCUUCCUCUGCGUAGUAGCAACACUCGCACUGGAUCGCAGCGCGGCCACGCCGUUAAACCCCCCACUUCUGAAAGUUUGACCUCGGAUCAGGUAGGAAUACCCGCUGAACUUAAGCAUAUCAAUAAGCGGAGGA